ACUGGAAACAAUAUUUAUCUGAUCUCUGAUUUUGCUUUUUUAUAGGGCCUGAAGAGAUGGAAAGCGGUUAGUUUCAGGACUGAAACUAGGAAUGAUAAUGUUUUCUUACUUCAAGGAAGAUUUUCUGAGUGGUGUGAAGAACUUAAUGGUAUGAAGAACAUAUUGAAAUCAAUGAAAAUUUUUCCAUAAAGUUCCUUGAGGACUGUUGACUUCAUUCACUAAAUCAGGAUUAGUAAUCCUGGAAAGGACAAGGCCAUCUUCAGAGAUUUCUACUGCUUUAUGUGACACAGGAUUCAGUGAAACCUGUUCUAUCAGUUAUACAGCAACAUGAGUAUUCGAUUUUUUUUUUUGCCUCAGAUGUUACUGGCAAUCAGUCUUCCUAUAUCUCUAAAUUUCUGGUAACAGAAGAACACUUUCAAGAUAACCUG